rnacentral:rRNA from 1 species
AGUGAACGCUGGCGGUAGGCCUAACACAUGCAAGUCGAACGGCAGCACAGUAAGAGCUUGCUCUUACGGGUGGCGAGUGGCGGACGGGUGAGGAAUACAUCGGAAUCUACUUUUUCGUGGGUGAUAACGUAGGGAAACUAACGCUAAUACCGCAUACGACCUACGGGUGAAAGCAGGGGAUCUUCGGACCUUGUGCGAUUGAAUGAGCCGAUGUCGGAUUAGCUAGUUGGCGGGGUAAAGGCCCACCAAGGCGACGAUCCGUAGCUGGUCUGAGAGGAUGAUCAGCCACACUGGAACUGAGACACGGUCAAGACUCCUACGGGAGGCAGCAGUGGGGAAUAUUGGACAAUGGGAGCAAGCCUGAUCCAGCCAUACCGCGUGGGUGAAGAAGGCCUUCGGGUUGUAAAGCCCUUUUGUUGGGAAAGAAAAGCAGCAGGUUAAUACCCCGCUGUUCUGACGGUACCCAAAGAAUAAGCACCGGCUAACUUCGUG